rnacentral:rRNA from 1 species
CCUACGGGAGGCAGCAGUGAGGAAUAUUGGUCAAUGGGCGAGAGCCUGAACCAGCCAAGUCGCGUGAGGGAGUACUGCCCUAUGGGUUGUAAACCUCUUUUGUCGGGGAGCAAAAGCCGGACGUGUCCGGCUGUGAGAGUACCCGAAGAAAAAGCAUCGGCUAACCCCGUGCAAGAAGCCGCGGUAAUACGGAGGAUGCGAGCGUUUUCCGGUUUUUUUGGGUUUAAAGGGUGCGCAGGCCGAUUUUUAAGUCAGGGGGUAAAUCCGGGGGUUCAACCCCAUCCAGCCGUUGAAACGGGGGGUCGAGAGUGUGCGAGAGGUAUGCGGAAUGCGGGGUGUAGCGGUGAAAUGCAUAGAUAUCGCGCAGAACCCCGAUUGCGAAGGCAGCAUGCCGGUGCACAACUGACGCUCAGGCACGAAAGCGUGGGUAUCGAACAGGAUUAGAUACCCUUGUAGUC